UAAUAAUAUAAUGUCAAUAAUAAAUGUUAAUAAUAAUAAUAAUAAUAAUAAUAAUAAUAAUAAUAAUAAUAAUAAUAAUCAUUCGUCACAAUAAUAAUAGCAAUAGUUUCGUAAUAAUAAUGACAAUUCAUCGUCGUCGGUAAUAAUCCAAUGACAAAUGUCAAUAGUCAUAUAGUAGCGUGUCGAACGGAGAAACGACCUUAAAAAACGAAGACAGUAUCAAUUGUUUGUUCGUACAUUUUGUUUUUUUUUUUUAUCUUUUAGCUUCCGUCGUCUUAUUCUUCUCGCUCGCGCUUUUUUCAUUUUUUUUAGUCUCUUCUUACCUCUCGCUCUCGCUCUUCCACACGCGCAUUCUCUCUCUCUCUCGACGUAUUUUUUUUUUUUUGAGUUUUCUUUCUCUCACACACACGCACACUUUCUCCCUCUGUCUCGUGUUUACACAAUUGAUGCAAAAUGUCCCUACACAGUCCGACGAAUGUGUGUGUGUGUACGUUUUUCCGAUCGAUCGAUUUUUUUCUUCCUCCGAGUCGUAGUGUGUUUGCUCGACGCUUUCUCUAUGAUAUUACUUUUGCUUUUUCCGCCUUUAUCCUCUUUGAAAUCCGCUAUUUUCCCUUGUAGCACGUGUUGACACAUUCACUCACAUUGGUUAAUCGGUUUGCUAGUGGAGGGACUAGGGUGGUAAUGUGAGGGGGUGUGCAGUUGGUGGAAGAUUAUCAGUGAGGAGUGCGGAAGGUAAGGUAUAAAGGUGGGGUUGGGUGUGGAUGACGUACGGGUGCUGGGAAAAGGAUUUGGGGAAAGGAGGC